GGGGUAGUUUGGUUUCGACAUGUAUUACUAGAUAUGAUUGCAAGUAGUUGGCAAACUUUAAAUGCACAAAAAAAUAAAUAACGAAACUUCAUAUAGUUUCGCUCCACAAUUUGCUUAAUUAAGUAAAGGAGCACUUCUAUCUUUUUCCCUUGUAGAAAAGACUAGGGGUUCAUAUAUGCAAGGUAUAAAUUUAUUAUUGUUUAAGUAAUAAAUUCGAAUGCUUAUUAAACUUACUAUUUAAUAGGUACGUAUAUAGCCAGUUAAAUAGGAAAUUACAAAUAGUACUAAACUUGUAGAUAUUGUAUUAUAGGAUAUAUUGGACAGGAGUUCGACUCUCCUCUACUCCACCA
rnacentral:tmRNA from 1 species